rnacentral:rRNA from 1 species
AGUCGAACGGUGACAGUAAUAUCAUAGUGGCGCACGGGUGCGUAACACGUAUGCAACCUACCUUAUACUUAGGGAUAGCCUUUGGAAACGGAGAUUAAUACCUGAUGGUACAGUUGACUUGGCAUCGAGUUACUGUUAAAGAUUUAUUGGUAUAAGAUGGGCAUGCGUCCAAUUAGUUAGUUGGUGAGGUAAUGGCUCACCAAGACGAUGAUUGGUAGGGGAACUGAGAGGUUAAUCCCCCACACUGGCACUGAGAUACGGGCCAGACUCCUACGGGAGGCAGCAGUAGGGAAUAUUGGGCAAUGGAGGCAACUCUGACCCAGCCAUGCCGCGUGCAGGAUGAAGGCGUUAUGCGUUGUAAACUGCUUUUAUAUAGGAAGAAACAGACCUUGCGAGGUAAGUUGACGGUACUAUAUGAAUAAGCACCGGCUAACUCCGUGCCAGCAGCCGCGGUAAUACGGAGGGUGCAAGCGUUGUCCGGAUUUAUUGGGUUUAAAGGGUGCGUAGGCGGUUUAUUAAGUCAGUGGUGAAAGACGGUCGCUCAACGAUUGCAGUGCCAUUGAUACUGGUAGACUUGAGUGGGAUUAAGGUAGCUGGAAUGGAUAGUGUAGCGGUGAAAUGCAUAGAUAUUAUCCAGAACACCAAUUGCGUAGGCAAGUUACUAAGUCUCAACUGACGCUGAGGCACGAAAGUGUGGGUAUC